CUUUUACAGCAGUGAAGAACAUAUGAGUGUACCAGUCAUGAAAGUAGAGGCAUGAAGUGGAAAGAAUCGCUCACAAAGAAGACCGACAAGAGAUCACAAGCCGAUACCUUAACAAAACUUACAGAGAAACCGAUGGGAAAUAACUAAGAAAAAUUAGAAUAAGAAAUAAAAAAGUUGACUGUAGAAAUUGAAAUAAUACAUUUGGAGAAAAAGAUGUGUUUAGUGUCAAUACGUGACCAAGUGCUAUAACUCUGACAUGUAAUAUACUAGUAGUAGA